GGGUUGUGAGGUUAAGCGACUAAGCGUACACGGUGGAUGCCCUGGCAGUCAGAGGCGAUGAAGGACGUGCUAAUCUGCGAAAAGCGUCGGUAAGGUGAUAUGAACCGUUACAGCCGGCGAUGUCCGAAUGGGGA
rnacentral:rRNA from 1 species